CCGGCGCUUUGCGACAGAUCCCCCAUCGUACGGCAGGUGCGACAUCAGGGCGACAGAUGUGUCUUCUAAUGUGGAGAGUUGACCGCUAGCUGCUUACCCGCAGCCGCGAACCAAAAAGCUGGGAAACAUCGUCUGCUGCACUUGGAAAUUGAAACCUGGCAACGUCUGUGAUGUUUGUUGCACAGUUUGCUUUCCUUUGGGCAAAGUUUCAUCUGGGAUAUGAGCUUCAGAACUUGUCUCAUCGUACGACUGUACGACGUAUAGCUUGUAAGCCCACUGAUUUAAGGAUGCAAUACGAAACUGUAAUCCGCAGACCUCCAUAUUAACUCCUUAAUCAAACCAGCUCUGCAGAACUUUUAGAUGCAUACAAAUCUCUCUUGAAAAUAUUCGAAGGUGUCACAAACAUCUUUCAAGGACUCUGGUAUAUUUCAGUUGAAAUUUAUUCAGACUUAUGCACUCCAAUUAGUACUACAUUCAAGGAUACUACAUUCAAGGACCGAUUUUUGGAGUCCAAUAAGGAUAUUGUAAUGAUUUUUAAACCUUGUACCGUCCUAAACCAAUCAAUAAGGAAGAUAUUCAACCACAGGGAAUCCGACGCUUGAGAUUUCAU